rnacentral:rRNA from 1 species
CACGUAGGGGGCAAGCGUUGUCCGGAUUCAUUGGGCGUAAAGAGCUCGUAGGCGGUUCGAUAAGUCGGGUGUGAAACCUCCAGGCUCAACCUGGAGACGCCACCCGAUACUGCCGUGACUAGAGUCCAGUAGGGGAGCGUGGAAUUCCUGGUGUAGCGGUGAAAUGCGCAGAUAUCAGGAGGAACACCGAUGGCGAAGGCAGUUCUCUGGGCCGUAACUGACGCUGAGGAGCGAAAGCGUGGAGAGCGAACAGG